AACGUAGGAGACGAACGUUAUCCGGAGUUACUGGGCGUAAAGGGCGUGUAGGCAGUUUGUUAAGUCUGGCGUGAAAGCUCUCGGCUAAACCGGGAGAGGUCGUUGGAUACUGGCGAACUAGAGGAUGGUAGAGGCGUGUGGAAUUCCGGGUGUAGUGGUGAAAUGCGUAGAGAUCCGGAGGAACACCAGUGGCGAAGGCGACACGCUGGGCCAUACCUGACGCUAAAGCGCGACAGCAUGGGGAGCAAACGGG
rnacentral:rRNA from 1 species